UACGUAGGGUGCAAGCGUUAAUCGGAAUUACUGGGCGUAAAGCGUGCGCAGGCGGUUUUGUAAGUCUGACGUGAAAUCCCCGGGCUCAACCUGGGAAUUGCGUUGGAGACUGCAAGGCUAGAAUCUGGCAGAGGGGGGUAGAAUUCCACGUGUAGCAGUGAAAUGCGUAGAGAUGUGGAGGAACACCUAUGGCGAAGGCAGCCCCCUGGGUCAAGAUUGACGCUCAUGCACGAAAGCGUGGGGAGCAAACAGG
rnacentral:rRNA from 1 species